GACGAACGCUGGCGGCGUGCCUAAUACAUGCAAGUCGAACGCAGUGGGGACGGGUGAGUAACACGUGGGUAACCUCCCAUCAGAGGGGAUAACACUUGGAAACAGGUGCUAAACCGAUACUUCUGGAUCUACCCGCGGUGCAUUAGCUAGUUGGUGGGGUAACGGGUCACCAAGGCCACGAUGCAUAGCCGACCUGGGAGGGUGAUCCGCCAACAUGGGAAGUGGACACGGCCCAGACUCCUACGGGAGGCAGCAGUAGGGAAGCUUCGGCAAUGGACGAAAGUCUGACCGAGCAACGCCGCGGGAGUGAAGAAGGUUUUCGGAUCGUAAAACUCUGUUGGUAGAGAAGCGGUAUCUAACCAGAAAGCCACGGCUAACUACGUGCCAGCAGCCGCGGUAAUUC
rnacentral:rRNA from 1 species